rnacentral:rRNA from 1 species
UAGUGAUAGCUGGUUGUUCAGGAAAAGAGUUUUAGCUCUACCUUAGCUUCUCAAUUACACCAAAAACCCUCAAACUUAAGAGCCAUUCAAAUAAGGCACAGCUUAUUUGAAAUAGGGCACAACCUCUAAUACCGGGUAAAUUAGGGUAACUUAAACAAAGUAGGCCUAAGAGCAGCCACCUUUAAAAAAGCGUUAAAGCUUAUUUAUACACCCACAAUUCCUAAAUCCCCAUUAACCCUUCAUCACUACUGAACUAUUUUAUAUCUUUAUAAAAGCUAUAAUGCUAGAACUAGUAACAAGAAAUAGCCCUUCUCCAAAAUGUAAGCUUAUACCAAAAUGGACAAUCCAUUGGUAAUCAACGCAAAUGUUAUAGCCACAGCAACACACCUCUAGAAAACCCUGUGACCCCAUACGUUACCCUUACACUAGAACAUCCCAGGAAAGAUUAAAAGAGAAAGAAGGAACUCGGCAAAUCUCAGCCCCGCCUGUUUACCAAAAACAUCGCCUCUUGACAAGUAUAAGAGGUCCAGCCUGCCCAGUGACAAAAUUCAACGGCCGCGGUACCCUAACCGUGCGAAGGUAGCAUAAUCACUUGUUCUCUAAAUAGGGACUAGUAUCAACGGCAUCACGAGGGCUGAACUGUCUCCUUUCUCCAAUCAGUGAAACUGAUCUCCCCGUGAAGAAGCGGGGAUUAUUAUAUAAGACGAGAAGACCCCAUGGAGCUUUAAACUCAUCACUCACUUCCUCACCUCCCCGACCAUAUAAGGAAUCUGUGUGAUAGUUUUGGGUUGGGGGGACCACGGAGUACAAUUUAACCUCCAUGACAAAUGGGCUAACGCCCUUAUCUACGAACUACAACUCUAAGAAUCAUAAACUGAUGUUUAAUGACCCGACAAUUCGAUCAACGAACCAAGUUACCCUGGGGAUAACAGCGCAAUCUACUUUAAGAGCCCCUAUCGACAAGUAGGUUUACGACCUCGAUGUUGGAUCAGGGUAUCCUAGGGGUGCAGCCGCUCCUAACGGUUCGUUUGUUCAACGAUUAAAACCCU